rnacentral:hammerhead_ribozyme from 1 species
GUCAUCUGACGAGUCCCAAAUAGGACGAAAAGCGCGUCCUUGGAA